AUGUACAUGCCUACAUCAUAAUGUUAAUGCAUCGGAUCCCAUUAGAAGUUUGCAAUUAAGUGCGCUCGGGCUAGAGUAGUACUGGGAUAGGUGAUCACCCAAGAAGUCCUAGUGUUUUACAUU
rnacentral:rRNA from 1 species